rnacentral:lncRNA from 1 species
UAGAGGGCCACAGUUGUGAAGUCCUCUAAACUCAGAGCAGCCUAUGUUGCAAUCAGCAUCAUCAUGCAGCAACUGAUGAGGUUUUGCAAGGAACACAUACUUAGCAGGUGCAUCUUGAGCAUUUGGCAGUCUGGGAUCUGAGCUAAUCUGCCUGCAGCCAGUGGAACUGCAACAUGGACGUUGAAAGCUGGCUCCCCAAAUCUGGCCUUGGGUCUGGAUUCAACGCGGAUUUCUGCAGCGAGCGAAAAUCAACGGAGACAUGUCUGGAUUAACCAUAUUUGACCUUACCAAAAUAUCUAUUAAACACGGCUGAGGAAAGCAAAACAUCCAAGGCACAAGCUCUCGGGGUGCGAGGAGAUUUGAGGAAAGAUUUAUCCCUACUGAUUGGCAGCGGGAGAAAGCUUUCCACUCCCAGAUCUCCCUGCUGUUGCCAGAACCUGGCUGAGGGGUACAUUGCGGUCACAGCGCCGCUGGCAGUCAUCUCUCACACCAUGCGUAAAUGGGCAAAAACAUUGAUCUAGGACGACAACCCUGUGGCUCUGGUUUGGGAACAGGUUUGCCCAGGUGUAUUUACACUGCUCCGGCUACAUACGUAGGUGUGAGCAGGAUCUACAGCUAAGAGCGUU